GUCUGCAGUGCACUGAAUCAGUCCUGAGCUCAGCCAGCUGCAGCUGACUCCAUACUGUCUGAAUUGCACUGAAUCAGUCCUGAGCUCAGCCAGCUGCAGCUGACUCCAUACUGUCUGAAUUGCACUGACUUAAAAAAAAAAAUAAAUAAAAAACUUAUAGAUGUAGGAUCUUGCAUGGAUGUUGCAGGGGAACUUUACUGCAAUGCAGGACUUUUUCAAAGUAUAGUGUAUUUGAGGUUUAAAAAGCUUCUGAUGUUUCUAAUUUCCACUUUGAAAUUUCAGACAUGAUUUUAUCUUAUGAUGAAAAAUGUAUCAACCCCU
ensembl:lncRNA